rnacentral:rRNA from 1 species
CGCGUCGGGCGAAAGGGAAUCCGGUCCCCAUUCCGGAACCCGGUCGCGGAACCGUUUCACGUCGGGCCCGCGCCGAAAGGCGCAAGCUCGUCGGGGUAACCCAACAUGACCCGGAGAAGCCGUCGGGAGGUCUGGGAAGAGUUUUCUUUUCUGUUUGAGCGUUCGGGUUCCCUGGAAUUGCCUAGCGCAGAGAGAGGGAAUGGAGCGCGUAGAGCACCGCAGUUGCGGCGGUGUCCAGACAUGCCCUUCGGACCUUGAAAAUCCGGGGACGGGCCACGUGGAGGUGUCGCGCCGGUUCGUACCCAUAUCCGCAGCAGGUCUCCAAGGUGAAGAGCCUCUAGUCGAUAGACGAAUGUAGGUAAGGGAAGUCGGCAACUUGGAUCC